GGGGUUGUGGGGCAGUGGUCGACCAUCUGCUUGGAAUGCAGCGAGUUCCAGGUUCAAUCCUUGGCAUCUCCA
rnacentral:tRNA from 1 species